CACUCGACAAAUGGCAAAGUGUUUUAAGGCUGUACGUGGUGGGAUUCGAACCUACGCGUGGACGUCUGCCCGAUCCCACUCUCACUACCUUAUCCACUAUGCCACCGCCUCCCAAGGGUAUCAUAGCAGAAUGGCAUUUUCAAGUUUACUACAUAUAACUUUUAAGACCUUGAAAAUUUCUAUAGAUAAGACUUUCCAGGAAACUUACAGAUAGGUCAGUUAGCUCUUCAAUCAUCAUAAGUAUGUGAAGAGGGAGGGGCAGUAAGCAACAGGCUUUCAAAAAUUAUGCUGGUUGCCAUGUAUGUCUAUAGGUCUUAUUCUGAAACCUUUUAAUUAAUCAGCUUCGGGAUUUUCAUAGGUCACAUAGAUGAUUAAGUGGGUUUUCUGGAUUGUAUUUCCUAUGUGACGUGAAGAUCUUUUUAAUCUAUCACUAGAAUGCAUUUGAAAACUGCACCAUUCCAUGUACAGUAAGCCCCAUCACUUUGCGAAUUAAUUAGUCUGGUGAAACUACCGCGAAAUACGAAUUUUGCCAAACACGAGUUCUUUAUACCAUAUAUAUUGCCUAAAAAAUGCCUCAAUCAGUCUUUGGUCAUUGCCAAAGUCCGUCUUUUGACCCCUAAAAUACCAUCUUUUGAAAUAAAAUCUUUUGCCUUUACAUGUACAAAAAAAGACCAAUAAACAAUAAAUAAAGCUAAUAAAACAUGAUAUAAAGGCUGUAACUACUGUUUUUUCACCCGUUUACCUUGCCCACUUUUGUUCUUGCCGCCACCACCAUUGUCCUUAGCCCCACCGGUACCACCAGUUGCGCUGUUAGAGGUCAUGUUGGCAGUAAAUCACCAGAAUUCGUUCCCACACUAGCAGAACAGAGGGUAGCACAAGCAAAAUAGCUGAAUGGGACUCUCACACUGCAUUCUGAUAGGUUUAGAGAGAGAUCUGACGUCACCAGGGAGCUGCGUGGUUCACCAUGCGACAACCAGGGGACCGCCAAGUUUGAAUUCAAAUCGCCAAGCGUGCACUCGUGGUCCGUGGCCACCCUACCGCCAAAACUGAAUUUCGCCAAGCUGAGAUUUGCCAAGUGCGGGGGCUUACUGUAGAGGCUUUUGAAUAUAGUGGAGGCAAGGUGUGGAAUUUAAUAAUUUUAAUAGAGAUAGGAAGAUGAAAUAAGAGUGUUUCCAUGUUACAAUGGCCAUCAGUCUUGAUGUUUAAUCCAUUUAUUUUGGUUCUCACAACAUUAAUUCUUUGCUAAAAUAUCUUGGUAUUUGCUUCUUAACUCUUUGAAUAAGUUCUUGACAUACCACUUAAUUUCUCACUUUAUGCAACUGUAACUUUAUCCACAUCAAGGAGGCUAGACUUUCUUUUAUAAGUGAACAUCCAUCUUUCCCAUUUAUACAGGCUACUUCCUCCUGAAACCAGAAACCUGAUGUCGGGUUGAAGUAUUCUUAGAUGAGACUGUAAUCUGCUGCAUAUCUCUUUGUGUAUGUAUCAAGACUUCUUUAUUUGUGAUCAGUGAAUGAUGUGGUUACACACUCUGCAAGGGUAUGCUCAUGCUGCAUACAGGGGAUAAACCAUGAACCAGUCUGAUUCCACUUGUUGUAUCUAUUGGACAUACCAAACCUCCCAUGUAUGUGAUCUUGGUGAUGCCACAUUAGCCAACCAUCAGCUCAUCUAAUGGACUAGCUAUUAGCUGUUUUGGUUGGAGGCGUCACUCAAUUCUAGAUGGGGUUCUCCCCAUCUUGGUAAGAAAUCUAGCUCGCGUCCUCGUCAUUUCUUGGCUUUCUACAGCGGGAACAGACAAGUCACCACGUCCUAAUAUAAGGUCAUUGCAUGAAGACACCCAUACUAAAC